CCAAUAGCGUAUAUUAAAGUUGUUGCAGUUAAAAAGCUCGUAGUUGAACUUCGGGGUUCACCCAUUGGUCAGGCUUAAUUGUCUGCACUGGUGAGAUGAGUCUCUACCUUCUGAGGAACUUUCAUGCCAUUUAUUUGGUGUGGUUGGAAAUCAGGACUGUUACUUUGAAAAAAUUAGAGUGUUUAAAGCAGGCUAACGUCUGAAUACAUUAGCAUGGAAUAAUGAAAUAGGACGGACUGAUUCUAUUUCGUUGGUUUCUAGGAUCACCGUAAUGAUUAAUAGGGAUAGUUGGGGGCAUUAGUAUUCAAUUGUCAGAGGUGAAAUUCUUGGAUUUAUUGAAGACUAACUACUGCGAAAGCAUUUGCCAAGGAUGUUUUCAUUAAUCAAGAACGAAAGUUAGGGGAUCGAAGACGAUCAGAUACCGUCGUAGCCUUAACCAUAAACUAUGCCGACUAGGGAUCGGACGAAGUUAAUUUUAUAAUGACGCGUUCGGCACCUUACG
rnacentral:rRNA from 1 species